UGGAGGUAGUGGCCAUGGAUUCGGUGGUGGAAGUAGACGAGACGACAAUGAAAGUGGAGAAGGUGGUGGAAGCAAAUGAGAAGAAUGAGGUUAUUAAUGCAAUGGUACAUGAGACUUCUAUGAUUUAUGGAAAAUAUAAAAAUAGAAUAUAUACUCUAUUCAAAUUUCUUUUAUCCUUAAACAUAAGUAAUAAUUACAGUAUUGUCUCUCUUUAUGUGUAGUUCAUGAAUUAUGAAUAAAAAAUAUUGUGAUAUUCAUAAUAUUAAUAAUAAUAAUAAUAAUAAUAAUAAUAAUCACCAUCAUGGAAAGUUUCCAUAAUUCAUUAUAUGUUUUGUUCAGAAAUACCUAUUGAUAAAUACAAACAAUACUUAAAUACUCUAAUUAAGAUGUGUUCAAAUAAUAUACCGUUAAUAGUAUUAGUAUCUUUGCAAUUCACUCAAUAUUAUUUUAAAAAAUCAAUCAAUUCUAAUGGGUCAUGAAAUCCCUACAAAAAAAUUAUUAGAUUAUAUAUUCCCUUCACUCUUCUUAAUUAAGUAUUGUAUAUAAAUUUUCUGAAGUAUCAAAUCAUCAUGAUUCAUAAAUCAAAAUAUAAAAACUAAUAUUGAAUGAUAUAAAUAAAAAUAUAAGGUAACGACGGUGCAUAAUAUUGUGAUGAAGCUAUUUCAACAUUGAAGAAAGGAUAAUAAAAUGGAAAUGAGAAAGAAACUUCAAGAAGAGAGAAUCAUAGCUUCAUUGAUUAUUCAAGUGUGAUAGUACAACUCUUAUAUAGUACACUCCUAUCACAUAAUAGCCAAUCAAAUGAAACUAACUAACCAAAUAACCACCUAACUAACAAUAGCCUUACCAACUAUAUUAAUCAACUAAUCUAAUCCAAUGAUUAAAGUAGCUAAUCUUAACAGCCCCUCUCAAGCUAAGCAUGGUGAAUGUUGAUCAUGCCAAGCUUGGAAAUAAACUUGUUGAAAGUUGAAGUUGGUAAUGCUUUAGUUAGAAAAUCAGCAAGUUGCUCAUGAGUGGAAAUUGGUAGGAGCCGAAGUAAGUCUUACUGUAGUUUUUCACGGACCAAAUGGCAAUCGAUCUCAAGAUGUUUGGUUCGUUCAUGAAACACCGGAUUGGACGCAAUAUGCAUUGCACUUUGGCUGUCACAAUAAAGGACAGGAAGUUUGGUACAUGUGAUGUGCAACUCCUUCAUAAGGACUAUCAUCCAAAGCAAUUCACAUGUGGCAAAUGACAGCGCCCGAUACUCAGCCUCCGAUGAUGAUCUGGAAAUAGUAUAUUAUUUCUUUGCAUGCCACGAUAUGAGAGAAGUACCAAGGAAUAAGCAAUAUCCUUAAAUGGACCUCCUUGAAUCAAUGCACCCUGCCCAAUCAGAAUCUGAGAAGCCAAGAAGUUGUAAUUCAGCAUUCCUGCGAAACAGAAUUCCUCUACCAGGGCUAUUCUUCAAGUAGCGUAUGACUCUAAGGGCAGCAUGGUAGUGUGCCAUUGUUGGAUUAUGAAGAAACUGUUUGAGUUGCUGCAUGGCAUAGGUAAUGUCUGGGCGUGUGGUGUUAAGGUACAUCAAACAACCUAUUAAUCGUCUAUAAGCUCCAAUGUCUUCAAAAGCUUUGCCACUAUCAGCAUGUAGCUUAACUGAUGGAUCAAUAGGUGUGGGAGUUGGUUUGGAUCCAAGCAUUCCAGAUUCCUGCAAGAGAUCAAGAAAAUAUUUUCGUUGUGAUAGUGAAAUCCCUGCCUUUGAAUGAGCAACCUCGAGGCCAAGAAAAUACUUGAGUAUGCCCAGGUUUUUGAUGCUAAAAUUUUCAUCCAGAAUGAGUUUAAUACGAUCAAAUUCAGACAUAGAGGUUCCAGCUAGGAUUAUGUCAUCAACAUAGACUAAAAUAGCUCUAAAUUAAGCAUCAGUUUUCAAAGUGAAAAGGGAAUAAUCAGAAGUAGAUUGAGUGUACCCUUGUUGAAGUAAAAGAGCUAUUAGCUUUUCAUACCAUUUGCGACUGGCUUGUUUCAGACCAUAUAAACUCUUUUGGAGUUUGUAUACUUGAUUGGGCCUGUGACAUGUAACACCUUCAGGUAUGGUCAUAUACGCAUCUUCCUGCAAUUCCCCAUGUAAAAAAUGCAUUGUUAACAUCAAGUUGAUGUAAGAACCAAUUGUUGAUGGUUGCAGUUGCAAGAAGAGUUCUGACAGUUGUAAGCUUUGCUACAGGUAAAAAAGUAUCAAAGAAAUCAAGCCCUUCAAUUUGGUUGUAGCCCUUGGCAAUAAGUAUAGCUUUAUACCUCUCUAUUGUGCCAUAUGCUCUAUGCUUUACUUUGAACACCCAUCUGUUACCAAUUGGUUUAACAUGUGGUGGCAAAUCAACUAUGUUCCAAGUUCUAUUCUUGUAUAAUGCAUCUAAUUCAGACUACAUGGCCUUGAUCCAAUGUUCAGACAAACAUGCUUCUUUGUAGUUCUUUGGCUCAUAUAUAAGAGUGAUAUUGGAUGCAAAGGCACGAUGAGAUGUAGACAGAAAAUGCAGUGAAUCAUAAUUUGAAAUAGGAUAAGUAAUUUUGGUUGUACCUGAUGAUGACUUGACUGCUGAAGCAUCAAAUGUAUUGCCUACAUAAUCUGAGAGAUAAUGAGGUGUAUGUUUGGCUCUAACAGGCCUAGAUUGAAUGUUGUCAUUUUCAAUAUCUGAUGUAUCAGGGAUAAAUUGAAUGUCAUGGUUCUCAUCAGCAUUUUCUAAAGAUUCAGGGUCAAUGUUAGAAUGGUGCAGUGUGUCAAUGGUUGUGUUAGGAUGGUGGUCAUGUUCCUCAACAGUGGAUUCAAUACUUUGUGAUGGAACAAGUAUGAUAGGAUCAUGUUGUGGUGAGUCAAUGGGAUCUUUGUAAGGGUGAUAGUUCCAAUUAGUAGAAUUUGCAUUUGAAUAGGGAAAAAUGUGCUCAUGAUGUAUGACGUUUCUAGAAUCAAGAAUUGUAUGACUGUUAAUAUCAUAGAGCACCACACCCUUCAUACCAUUCUUGUAUCCUAAGAAUACACAUUUUCGACCUCUUGGCUCAAGUUUUGUUCUAUGCAUAUGUAAUGUGGAUGCAAAGGCUAGAGAUCCAAACACUUUGAGACUAUGCAUAUCUGGAUGUGCAUUNNNNNNNNNNNNNNNNNNNNNNNNNNNNNNNNNNNNNNNNNNNNNNNNNNNNNNNNNNNNNNNNNNNNNNNNNNNNNNNNNNNNNNNNNNNNNNNNNNNNNNNNNNNNNNNNNNNNNNNNNNNNNNNNNNNNNNNNNNNNNNNNNNNNNNNNNNNNNNNNNNNNNNNNNNNNNNNNNNNNNNNNNNNNNNNNNNNNNNNNNNNNNNNNNNNNNNNNNNNNNNNNNNNNNNNNNNNNNNNNNNNNNNNNNNNNNNNNNNNNNNNNNNNNNNNNNNNNNNNNNNNNNNNNNNNNNNNNNNNNNNNNNNNNNNNNNNNNNNNNNNNNNNNNNNNNNNNNNNNNNNNNNNNNNNNNNNNNNNNNNNNNNAGCAUUUUCUAAAGAUUCAGGGUCAAUGUUAGAAUGGUGCAGUGUGUCAAUGGUUGUGUUAGGAUGGUGGUCAUGUUCCUCAACAGUGGAUUCAAUACUUUGUGAUGGAACAAGUAUGAUAGGAUCAUGUUGUGGUGAGUCAAUGGGAUCUUUGUAAGGGUGAUAGUUCCAAUUAGUAGAAUUUGCAUUUGAAUAGGGAAAAAUGUGCUCAUGAUGUAUGACGUUUCUAGAAACAAGAAUUGUAUGACUGUUAAUAUCAUAGAGCACCACACCCUUCAUACCAUUCUUGUAUCCUAAGAAUACACAUUUUCGACCUCUUGGCUCAAGUUUUGUUCUAUGCAUAUGUAAUGUGGAUGCAAAGGCUAGAGAUCCAAACACUUUGAGACUAUGCAUAUCUGGAUGUGCAUUAUGCAGUAUGAAAUGAGGAUAAAGAUUGUUUAAAACUUGUGUAGGAAGUUUAUUUAUAAUGAAUGUUGCAUGCAAAAUGGCAUAUAACCAGAAUUCCUUUGGAAGUUUUGACUGAAAAAGAAGGGCUCUUCCAACAUUUAGUAAAUGUUGAUGUUUCCUCUCCACUCUACCAUUUUGUUGUGGAGAUUCAACACAACUUGUUUGAUGAAUGAUUCCCUUAGAUGCAUAAAAUUCAGGGAGGCUAAAUUCAGGACCAUUAUCAAUUCUGAUAAUUUUGACAUGAAGCUUAUGUUGAUUUUCUAUGAGACUAACAAAGUUUAUAACAUGCUGUCUAGCUUCAGAUUUGGCUUUCAUUAAUGUUAUCCAUGUGUAUCUGCUACAGUCAUCAACAUCAGUUAAAAAACAUGAAUGACCAUGUAAAGAUUGAACUGCAAGAGGUCCGCAAAUGUCAAAAUGGAUCAAGUCAUAAGGGUGAGCAACUCUAUUAUUACUAACAGUAUAAGAAAGCUUUCUUUGUCUAGCAUAGCAACAAACAUCACAAACAUCUUUAUGAUUAACUUUGAUAAAGGGAAAUUGAGAAUGUAAGUACAAUAGUCUAUUUUGAGAUAAGUGUCCUAAUCUAAAAUGCCAUAAGGCUCUAUCUGGUAAAGUGACAUUGGCUGCUACGGCAAAGGUUAAAGCAGGUGUGUGUGUGUGUAGUAGGUGGAUCAUUAUCUCUUAGUGUUAGGUAGUACAAUCCAUCUUUCUGCUCAGCAGAACCAGUCAUCUUCAUGGUGAUUUUGUCCUGUAUAACACAUUGUGAAUUGAGGAAACUGACAUUGCAAUUAGAGGAUUCACACAAUUUUGAAACAUAUAAUAGAUUUAAAGAAAAUUCAGGAAUCAAAAGAACAUUAUGCACAAUGAAGUCAGGAGAAAAAUAAAUUGUGCCAGAAUGUUUAGCAACAAGGCAUUGUCCAUUUGGCAAUCUAACAUUGAUGGGAAUAAUUUUCUUAUAUGAAUGAAACUAUUGGACAGAACUACAUAUAUGAUCAGUAGCUCCUGAAUCAAUGAUCCAAGAACCACUACUACUAUUAUGCAUGCAAUGAUAUGUGUUACCUGUUGAUGGAUUGCCAACAACAACUUGGUUGGAAGAAGCAUGUCCUGAAGAUUGGCCAAUGCUUGAUUUCUGAAUUAGAUCCAUUAAAGCACUGAAUUGACCUUGAGUCAUAGGUGAAUUGUCACUUUUAAUGUCAACACCACUAGAGGAAGAUCCAUCAUCAUUUCCAUCUGAUGCCACAUUGUUAGCUGAAUUCUGAAACUGCUUCUACAUAUGAGGUGGUACACCAUGUUUCUUGAAGCAGUUUUCCACAGUGUGAUUAGUCUUGCCACAGAAUGUGCAAACACGAGCACCAUGCUUGAAUGUAUUGUUUCUUGCUCCAAACCUCUUGGAAUCCACAACAUUAAUCGGUGUUUGAGACUCAUCAUUGGGAAUAGGGAGCUGAAUUUGUCUCUCAUGUUGGAUAACCAUGGAGAAUAUCUUAUUCAUAUUUGGCAAAGGAUCCUUAACAAUAUUUGAGACUUAACUACAACAAAUUGGUCAUUCAAACCAGUCAAGAAUUUGAUAAUUUGUAGCAGCGGAUGAUUAGAUCUUGCAUUGCGCAUAGCUUCACAAGAACAUUUUAUGUGACAUGUACAAGUUGGAAAGGCAAAUACAAAUCUAAUUCUUUCCAAAGAAAUUUAAGAUCAGAAAAAAAAUCAGUUACCGAUUUGGUUUCUUGCUUGAGAUUAUAUAUUUCUUGCUGCAGCUCAGAAAUACGAAUGAGGUUACCCUGAGAAAACCUUUCUUUCAAAUUGUUCGAUACAUCAAGUGCAUUCUCCAUGAAGACGAUAGACUGAGAAAUUGAAUCUGAAACAAAAUUCAUGAUCCAAGAAUGUACUAGCAUGUUGCAGCGAUUCCAAGCACGCAGAGAUGGAUCGAAAGAAUCAGCAGGAACAGGAAGAGAUCCAUCAAUGAACUCAAUCUUCAUUUUGCCACCAAGAGCCUUCUUCAUGCUUCGAGCCCAUGAAUGAUAGUUGGAACCAUUGAGUUUCGGAAGAAUUGUAACAGAACCAUGACCAUUGCUGGGGUGAACAAAAUAAGGUGAAGUUUGAUCCAAAGUAGGAUCAAGUGGUGAAGAUCGAGGAGGAGCCAUGGAUGCAGAAAGAAGUGAAUGCAGAAAGAAAAAUAGAUGGAGUAGAAGGAUUCAAUUGGAUAGUAGCGGAAGGAGAAUCGAAUUGGCGAUGAUACCAUAUUAUGAUGAAGCUAUUUCAACACUGAAGAAAGGAUAAUAAAAUGGAAAUGCGAAAGAAACUUCAAGAAGAGAGAAUCAUAGCUUCAUUGAUUAUUCAAGUGUGAUAGUACAACUCUUAUAUAGUACACUCCUAUCAAACAAUAGCCAAUCAAAUGAAACUAACCAACCAAAUAACCACCUAACUAACAAUAGCCUUACCAACUAUAUUAAUCAACUAAUCUAAUCCAAUGAUUAAAGUAGCUAAUCUUAACACAUAAUGCACUCAAAUUUCUAAUUUGUUGCAUGAAAAUUUUAAUAGUAAAGUAUAUAUACUAAGCAAGGCAAAACUAAAAUUCCCAUAAAAUCAAUGCCUCGAGGAUCCUGAACGGGAGUUAAAGUUCCAAUUAUUUUUGUGGGAAAAUUAUUUACAUUUUGUAGUUACAAAUAUGAUGUUAUACUUUAAUUUCACUUACAUUUUAUGGUAAGAAAAAAGGAGUGUCAUGAGAGUAAUCAAACAAAACAAUAAUAUAUAAUCAAUUAAAUGGAUGUGCAAGCAGACUAGGUGAAUGUAGCUUUUCUUGAAUAACACAAUUUGUUUUCACCAAAAUAUCAUUUCAUAUGCACGUUUAACAUAACUAUAGUGUUUUAACCAAAAUAUUACUUUAGAUGCACCAAAAUAUUAGUUUAGAUGCACGUUUAACGUAACUAACACCAGUGUUUUAACCAAAAUAUUACUUUAGAUGCACCAAAAUAUUAGUUUAGAUGCACGUUUAACGUAACUAACACCAUACCAAACAUAUGCUCUUCAAGAAAUUUGAACUUGAAACUUUUAUCUUCUGAAAACAUAGAUUUAGUCUAUAAAAAGAAUUCUAAUUCUAAUUUUUGUUCAUCUAAAUUAGUAGUUGAAACUAGAACCUGAAUCAAAAUUCUCAAAUACUAAAAAAUCCAUUCAAAUAUCUAAACUUAACUAAAAUCGAUAUUGUUCGUUGAUGUGGAGCAUAACACAAGUAUUAUUUCUUAUUGAUCUAUCAAUCUAAAUCAUUCUUUGAUCGGUAAAACUUGUAACUCGAGAUUUUUUGUAUAAAUUAAUCAAAACCCAUUUGUGUUCUUAUUCUUUGAUUUCAUGAACUUCAUUAAAAUCCAAAUAUUGGAAUUAUAUAUUGAGCAUUUUAUAUUUUGUUAAGUGGAUGGAGUUAGGCAUUUGAUAUACAAUAAUUUAAAAUUAGUGAGAUUAGAUAAAUAAGAAGUUCGAUAUGUCGUCUAGAAGCUAUGGGUUUUUUCCUUUUCUAUAUUAUAAAUUAAAACACAUGAGUUUCAUCCGAAAUUAAUUAUUCUAAUUUUGAAGACAAAAAUUUAUUAUCGUCAUUUUAUUUAAUUACGGCAAAAGUUUACGAGCGUAAAUAUUUUAUAAAUUGGUUAAUUGAUAUUAUUAUUAUUAUUAUUAUUAUUAUUAUUAUUAUUAUUAUUAUUUGUAACACCAAUAUUCUUUUUCUAAUUGUGCAUAGUGUCUAAUUGGUUAAUUGAUGAAGAAUUAAUUGUCCUAACCUAACUCUAAGCACUUGAUUAGAGGUGAGUGUCGAUCAUUAGUAAUAAGGGUCCAUGUGCAAGGGCAAAUCAAUAUGUUCUAAUGGUAUUAUAAAACUUAAACUAUAGAGAAACCUCAUUUCUCUACAUAUUUUCUCUUGGUUAGUAGCUUGAAUAUCAAAUGUGACAUGAGAGGAAGAAUGAGCCAAUGACAGUUAAUGGAUGUCGAGUUGCAAGUUAGAGCUAACCAUCCAGGCUUCACCCAAUCUAUGGAUGGAGUCAUUUUGUUAAAUCAGUGGUUAUAUGUGCUGAUUGAUUCAGAGUUGAGAAGGGUGAUAUUGGAAUAAUCUCACAAUUCACCUGUGAUACCCCAAUUUUGCCCUUCCUUCAAUAAAUCGACACCUUUAUCAUGACAUUCGCAUCAUCUAUAUAGCAUAACAUGCAUUUCAUUCCACAUAAUGCCUAAAAUAUCGACCAGAAUAAACUUUUGAAUUUACAGGCAGACCGAUUAAACUGAUUCUCAAAUGAACAUGAAAUUAGCGGGCGGAAAUUUAAAAAUCGAGCUUGCAAAUGUCAAUUUUAUUAAUCUACAAUUCGUGUAGUUUAACAUGGCGUGUUCGUUUUAUUUUUUUCAACUACUUUUUCAGUCGCAUUUUGACCAGUCUGAGCCUUUUACCCAAUCAUAAAAAUAAAUUUUUAACUGGUUUUAGACAUACAAAAGCUCUUCAAAUUUUCACGUUCAUCAUUUUGGUGCAUUUAGUUUAAUUUUUCGACCAUUUUUGCACCCAACUUUUUUUCAAUUUGAGUUUGUUUAUCAUUUUUUUUGUCAAAAUGUUUGAAAUAAGUAAAUAGAAUUUUCAUUGUUUUUGUUUUGAGUUAAUUUUUAUUAUUUAGAUUAAUGUAAUUUUAUUUGAUUUAAUUUAUUUGUAACUAUUUUUUACAUAAUUUUCACUCAAUAAGGGCAUGUUCGAUAUUUAAUAAAAAUAGAAAACCCUAGCAUAUAUAAGUUAAUAAGUGCUGAAAGAAGAGGACCUCAAUUUUACAAUCCACGUCGCCUCUUUUUUGGGUCAAACAGAAAUUGAAAAAAAUAAAGAAUUGAACCACUUGCAGCUACAGUGUGUUGUUCACUUUCCAAAGUCUCCCUCUCAUUUGACAUACCAUCUCUUAACCCCUAGCAUAUACUUCUUAAUUUAAAAAAAAAGAAGGCUUAAACGCACUUUUGAUCCCCUUAGUUUGAACAUUUUAAACAAUUGUUCCCCCUAUUGCAAAACUAGUGAUUCUGGUCCCUUAAUUUUGAUGGUCUUUGGAUUUGUAUGUUCCCCUUCCACUUUUACAUAUGUGACAUUGAUUAUUCGGAUAAAAAUAUAAUUUUGAAUGAUAUAUCAUUGAUGACUAGGGUAAUUUAUUAAUUAAUAUUUUUUAUAGAAUAAAUUAAUAAUUAAUUGUUUUAAUUAAUAUUUUUAGAAAUUAAUUAAUUAAAAUUUUAAAAAGAAUUACUGGGCCUAAGCCCAAUUCUUAACAACAUCCUUUUCAAACUUGCCCAAGAAGACAUUGAGUAAUGCAUUGUUGACUUUUAUAAACACUAAAAUUGUUUAUGAAAAAAAUAAUGUGGGACAUAAUUCCCUUUUUUCCUUAUGACUCUACUCAUGAUCUCUAUCAUAAACUGAAUGUGCAUUGAUGCUCUUCAAGAUAUAACCACCCAAAUAACACAAAUCGGUAGCCAUCAGAUUAUUAGUUUUCGAUGUUUAAAGAUCUCAAGGAGUUCAAUUUCGUUGUGCAUGAUAUUUAUUGCCUUUUUACUGUCCGUCCAAAUUCAAACUUCUUUACAAACAUAAUUUUUUUUGACCGAAUCAAUAAAUUUGUACAUAAUAUCAUGUGUUCCUCUACCAAUAAUAUACUGAUCACUUAGAUUCUCUGUAGCUUGCACAACACUAUUUCCUUAAGGGAAAUGACUUUACUUGAGGUGUUGAAUCUUGAACAAUAUUCAAGUCCGAUCCAUCCAGCUCCUCAUCAAAUAUAAUACCAUGAUUUAGAUCAGACUCCAUAUCUAAUUCCUUUCCAAGAAGACACCUUUGAACUAUAAUUACCAGUACAACAGAAUUAAAUAUUGAGGAUCCAAUUGAUAUCAUCACAAUUUGAAUAUUACUAAUAUCGAUACCUUUAUGAUCACUUGAGUAGUGUGAUUUGGAGACACAUGGAUUUAGAUUUAGGGGAGAACAAAGGUAUGAAAUAAUAAAGAAAUAAAAUAAAUAAAUAAAUAAAGCAAAACAAAUCAAUAAGAGAAAAAGAAAACGAAUAAAUAAACAAAACAAACAACCCUAGAACUAAAUUGUAGGUUUAACUCUCUUUAGGGAUAUUCCCCAGCAGAGUCACCAAUUGUCGUAUAUAAAAAAAUAUGAUCUCGUGAAGCGCAUCGAACACUCGCGGAUGGACUGGCAGAGUCGGCACUGUUCUCUAUUUAUUCCUAAGAAAAGGAAAAAUGACAACAAAACUGUAAGGAAAAGAAAAGGAUAAGAUGUGCAUCGCAACCAAAUUAGGGUUCAGGAGUCGGUUAUGCAAUGGGAAGGUAUUAACACCCCCCACAUCCGUUGUACUAAACGGAAACCUCCUAAUGUUAUAAGGUUGAUUAUUUGUUAAGGGUUUAUUUAUUUUAUUUUAUUUUUAUUCGAGUGUUUACAAAAAUAAAUUAUUUACAAUGGAAAAAGCUUUUUUAAUUAUUAUGCUCGCCAAGGUUUCAAAACUUCGUGUCUACGUAUUCUAUUGUGCAAUGAGAAAAUCAGAGCAUCGUAGUUCAAAAAAAAGUUUGUGUGUUGGUUGCUUUUAUAUAAUAUAAUUUAAGUCAUUCUUGCGUUCAAACCUCGACUUAUAUGCUCGCACGAUGGAGGCUUAAGCGCUUGUUUUUGUUUCGCGUUGAAAAUAACUUGAACUAUCCUUUUAUGAAAAAUAUUUUUGGAAUGGGGUACCGGGGCACAUAAAAGGUUUAAAUAGUGAUGUUUAAUUUUAAGUGUUUUGGUUCUAAAUAAUCGAUCGACACAGAGAGCGCUAACCAAUCAAUUACUCAAGGACAUGGUGGAUGUCUAUCCACCUUCGAUUUGCAAAAAAAUAUUGAUUUAAUUUAACUUAUAAAAGUAGUUUGAUGAUAUGUACAAAUAUGAAUUAUUUACAAGUUGAGAAAGAAAUCUUAUUUUCUAUUUAUUUUAUUAAUUUGAAUAUAAGAAGGAAUAUUUUAUAUAUUUUUUUAAAAUAGAAUUUGAAUAAGAAGAAGGAUUAUGAUUGGUUGUUUGAACUUAUAAAAUAAAGGGAAAUAUUAUUCAUCAUUAAAGUAAAAUAAAAAACUUUUGUUUUAAAUUAAAUAAAAAAGGAUAGUUUUUGUAACUUUUGUUGUAUAGCUUUUGUAGGUAGCAUAUUUAAUUUAAUUUAUAUAAUAUGAUUAUCAGAAAGACUUAAAUAAAAUUACCUACACAUUUCAGAGAUUACUAUAAAUUAAUUUUGCAAGAUCAAAAACAAAAAUGACAUAUAAUUGUAAUGAUUAAAAACAAACAAAAAAUAUAAGACUAAAAAAAUAUUGAUAAAUAUCAUAUACUUAUUUAAUUUAAAUAAAAAAUAUUUUAAUAAAAUUUCUUAAAAUAGACACAUUAAAUAUAUUCUUGUUUUUAAUAUGUAUAUGAAAUGACAAAUAAAAACAUCUAAUCUAAUAAUAUUAGCAUUAUCAAUUGACUAGUCCUCACAUAAUGUUUAAAAAAAAAGUGAGAAUGAAAAAUAAAAGUUAACAAAGGUUGUAACUAAUUUUUCUUAACAAGAUAGUAAUAUAGAAUAUAAAAAAAAAACAUUGCCACCCCACUACUCAACUUUGUAAUCUCAUUUUAUUUUUCUUCCCAAGCAAGUUACAAUUUUCAUGGAUACUUUAACUUUCAUUUUGUCAUCAAUCCUAACUUAGAUGCCUUUUUAUGUGACAUUUUUCAUAUCUUCUUCAACAAAGUUGGAUGAAACUUAAAUUUAAUAUGGUAACAAAAAAUAGUGUUAAUGAUAAGGCUCCAUAUUAUUAAUAGCAUUUAAUUUGAUAAUACUUUUGAGGCACUAUAGCUAAGAGUGUUGUAAGAACAUUUUCUUCCAUCCUUUUUUCAAGUAUCUUAUAAGACUAAAAAAAAUAUUGAUAAAUAUCAUAUACUUAUUUAUUUUAAACAAAAAAUAUUUUUAUAAAGUUUCUUAAAAUAAACACAUUAAUAUAUUCUUCUUUUUAAAAUGUAUACAAAAUGACAAAUAAAAAUAUCUAAUAUAGUAAUAUUAGCAUUAUCAAUUUACUAGUCCUCACAUAAUAUUUUUUUUUUAAAAAGAGAGAAUGAAAAAUAAAAUUUAACCAAGGUUGUAACUAAUUUUUCUUAGCCAGACAAUAAGAUAGAAUUAAAAAAAAAUAUUGCCACCGCCAUACUCAACUUUGUAAUCUCAUUUUAUUUUUCUUCCCAAGCAAGUUACAAUUUUCAUGGAUUCUUAAACUUUCAUUUUGUCAUCAACCUUAACUUAGAUGCCUUUUUACAUGUCCUUUUUCAUAUCUUCUUCAAAAAAAUUGGAUGAAACUUAAAUUUAAUAUGGUGACAAAAAAUAGUGUUAAAGAUAAGGCCCCAUAUUAUUAAUAGCAUUUAAUUUGAUGAUACUUUUGAGGCUCUCUAAAUAAGAGUGUCGUAAGAACAUUUUCUUCCAUCCUUUUUUCAAGUAUCAUUGUGUUUUCUGUUUAUUCAUUUACAAUGAUGAAUUUCAAAUGUUUUGUUUUUCUCAUACUUCUGGCUGGUGUGAUUCUCAUCUCUGCAGUGGAGGCCGAUGAACCAGAUCCUGAUCCACCAAGUAUGAACUUUGAAAUCAACAUCAAUUUAUUUGUUUAUCAACUUUGUUUAAGAUUUAGGUGAAUUAAAUUUAUGCAUGAAACUGAUAAAAGAUUUUAGGAAAAAACAUCCAUAUGAUGAAUUUUUAUAACCACUCUUCGUAUGAAUGCAUUUGGUGUAUGAUUAAAUUUUGUUGUUAUAGUAACUUAAUUAUGUAUGUUGUUGAUGAAGGUCCAAAGAUAAGCGUCUAUGAAGAGCUUAAGGGGUGUUACAAAGCAUGAAAAAGUAAAAAAAUUAUAUGUUUUAAUUUAAUGGGAUUGAUAAGUCAAUUUUGUAAAAUUUUGCAACUUUAGGUGGAAGAAAAAUGAUUUUGGAGUCAAUUCAUGAUGGAAACUGCAAGGAACAAGGAGGCGAAAAGUAUGGUGAUAGUGAAUUUGGUGGCAUUGGUGGAGGUGUCAUCAAGGAGGAGGUAUUAGAGGUGGCAUAUGGAGAGGUAGGGAAAAAGGAGGUGGAAGUGGUAGUGAGGGAGAAGAUUAUGGUGGUGGAGGAAGUGGAAGUGGAAAAGGAAGAGAAUGUGGUGAUAAAGGCUGUAGAAUUGGAGGAGAUUAUGGUGGUGGAGCAAGUGGUACUGGUAAAGGCAACGAAAGUGGAGGAGAUUAUGGUGGUGGCAAAGGCGGUGGUAGAAGAGGAGAUUAUGGUGGUGGAAGUGAAGGUGGAAGUGGUAGCAGAGGAGAUUAUAAUGGUGGAGCUAGUGGUGAAAGUGGAGAAGGUGGUGGUAAAUGUGGAGAUUAUGGAGGUAGAGCAGGUGGUGGUAAAGAAACUGGUAACGGAGGAGAUUAUGGUGGUGGAAGUGGUAGAGGUAACAUAGAAGAUUAUGGUGGUGGAGGUAGUGGCCAUGGAUUCGGUGGUGGAAGUAGACGAGACGACGAUGAAAGUGGAGAAGGUGGUGGAAGCAAAUGAGAAGAAUGAGGUUAUUAAUGCAAUGGUACAUGAGACUUCUAUGAUUUAUGGAAAAUAUUAAAAAUGAAUAUAUACUCUAUUCAAAUUUCUUUUAUCCUUAAACAUAAGUAAUAAUUACAGUAUUGUCUCUCUUUAUGUGUAGUUCAUGAAUUAUGAAUAAAAAAUAUUGUGAUAUUCAUAAUAUUAUUAUUAAUAAUAAUAAUAAUAAUAAUAAUAAUCACCAUCAUGGAAAGUUUCCAU
rnacentral:lncRNA from 1 species